rnacentral:lncRNA from 1 species
CCUGUUCCAUUACCAGUUACAGUUCCUCUUCCCCGUCCAGUAGCACUAGCCUAUAACAUAAGUUGAUGAACAAAAAUAUUAGACUGAUUAAGAUGUAAAUUAACAACUACAUGAAUUACUAUAAACAUUACCUGUUUUGUAGAACCUCUUGGUCGACCUCUUCCUCUCUUUGUGCUUGAUUGUGAUUCAGUUGGUGCUCUAGAAGAACCAACACUUGACCUUGUUGAACUAGGCUCACAUCCUCUCCCCAUUCCUCUUCCUCUGCCUGCAUUAGCUUGAUU